rnacentral:tRNA from 1 species
GGAAGCUCCACUGGGCCGGUGCCUGGCCUGGUCUUCAAAACCAGCGGGCGGCGCCUGCGCGCCGCUGGUGGGUUCGACUCCCACGAGCUUCCGCCA